UACGUAGGGGGCAAGCGUUGUCCGGAUUUAUUGGGCGUAAAGAGCGUGUAGGCGGCCAGAUAGGUCCGUUGUGAAAACUCGAGGCUCAACCUCGAGACGCCGAUGGAAACCAUCUGGCUAGAGUCCGGAAGAGGAGAGUGGAAUUCCUGGUGUAGCGGUGAAAUUCGUAGAUAUCAGGAGGAACACCGGCGGCGAAGGCGGCUUUCUGGCUCAUUACUGACGUUCAGGUACGGAAAGCGUGGGAUAGCAAACAGG
rnacentral:rRNA from 1 species